rnacentral:rRNA from 1 species
UACGGGGGGGGUAAGCGUUGUUCGGAAUUACUGGGCGUAAAGGGCUCGUAGGCGGCCAACUAAGUCAGACGUGAAAUCCCUCGGCUUAACCGGGGAACUGCGUCUGAUACUGGAUGGCUUGAAUCCGGGAGAGGGAUGCAGAAUUCCAGGUGUAGCGGUGAAAUGCGUAGAUAUCUGGAGGAAUACCGGUGGCGAAGGCGGCAUCCUGGACCGGCAUUGACGCUGAGGAGCGAAAGCCAGGGGAGCAAACGGG